GACGAACGCUGGCGGCGUGCUUAACACAUGCAAGUCGAACGGAAAGGCCCUGCUUUUGUGGGGUGCUCGAGUGGCGAACGGGUGAGUAACACGUGAGUAACCUGCCCUUGACUUUGGGAUAACUUCAGGAAACUGGGGCUAAUACCGGAUAGGAGCUCCUGCUGCAUGGUGGGGGUUGGAAAGUUUCGGCGGUUGGGGAUGGACUCGCGGCUUAUCAGCUUGUUGGUGGGGUAGUGGCUUACCAAGGCUUUGACGGGUAGCCGGCCUGAGAGGGUGACCGGCCACAUUGGGACUGAGAUACGGCCCAGACUCCUACGGGAGGCAGCAGUGGAGAAUAUUGCACAAUGGGCGGAAGCCUGAUGCAGCAACGCCGCGUGCGGGAUGACGGCCUUCGGUUUGUAAACCGCUUUCGCCUGUGACGAAGCGUGAGUGACGGUAAUGGGUAAAGAAGCACCGGCUAACUACGUG
rnacentral:rRNA from 1 species